rnacentral:rRNA from 1 species
GUGCCAGCAGCCGCGGUAAUACGGAGGGUGCAAGCGUUAUCCGGAUUCACUGGGUUUAAAGGGUGCGUAGGUGGUUUUGUAAGUCAGUGGUGAAAGCCCGGAGCUCAACUCCGGAACUGCCAUUGAUACUGCUUAACUUGAAUCAACUUGAGGUGGAUGGAAUAUUACAUGUAGCGGUGAAAUGCUUAGAUAUGUAAUAGAACACCGAUUGCGAAGGCAGUUCACUAAGGUUGUAUUGACACUGAGGCACGAAAGCGUGGGGAUCAAACAGGAUUAGAAACCCCAGUAGUCC